CGUGGGAUCCACACUUCAAAUUGAGUGUUUUAAAACCCGAUAACGCUACUCACUCACCCUGCUCUUCAGUCCGAAUCGGAGAAGGUUACAGUCCAUUCUUAUUUAACUACUUCGCUACUGUCACUUUUGUCCAUUGGGAUCCAGUCUAAAAUAGAGCCCUGGUUUCCCACUGAAGGCAGCAAUGCCCAGUUUUUGCUUCUGCUUACCUUCUGGGGAGAGCUCGGUCGUGGUGGCAUCAGCAGCGAUGGCAAUGUGGCAAGUGGAAGGCAGUAAGAAGGCGGCUUCCUCAGAGUUUGGAGCGUGGUGACAGCUGGUGAGCCCAGAGCUGGACCCUGGCGGAUGGUGGUGAGGCGAUGGCUGAUAGAGGGGCAAGCACAGGACCCAGUAUUGGCUGGAACAUCAGAGGAGGUGAUGCCUGACGAGGUAGACCCAACGGCAAAAGAUGGCGUUUGAAGAUCAGUGAGUUGGCUCUGGUGCUGGCAGCGGCGAAGUGGAGGCACAAGGGUUAUGGACUGUCUUUUAACUAUAUUUUUUUUAUUACUAUUCUUAAACUAUUCAAGAUGGCACCAGAAUCGUGGCAACAAUGGAAGCUUUCACUGUGUUACUGUAUUUUUUUUCCUGUAAAAUUCUCGUGACAAUAAAAUCAUUCAGUGAACAUUG